CCCAAAGCAGAUCCCUGGGCAGGGGACUCUCCAGGCUCAGAGAGGUCCAAGGGAGCAUCGGGCUUUGCCCUGGGGUGUACGGUCCAUGCCACAAUGUGGGAUGACAAACCUGUACAUUCCUAAACCUCCUCAGGGUCCUUGCACUGUGACCCAGGAGACAGACCACCCAGGCCUCAAUA
rnacentral:snoRNA from 1 species